AGGAAGUACAACCCCACUGGCAGUGGCCAGCUCUCCAGCCCUGGAGUCAGCUCCCGCAGUAACCACGGAGCUCUCCGUCUGCAGGGCCUGGAGGCUCUGGGCGGG
rnacentral:pre_miRNA from 1 species